rnacentral:rRNA from 1 species
GACGAACGCUGGCGGCGUGCUUAACACAUGCCAGUCGAACGGAAAGGCCCUGCUUUUGUGGGGUGCUCGAGUGGCGAACGGGUGAGUAACACGUGAGUAACCUGCCCUUGACUUUGGGAUAACUUCAGGAAACUGGGGCUAAUACCGGAUAGGAGCUCCUGCUGCAUGGUGGGGGUUGGAAAGUUUCGGCGGUUGGGGAUGGACUCGCGGCUUAUCAGCUUGUUGGUGGGGUAGUGGCUUACCAAGGCUUUGACGGGUAGCCGGCCUGAGAGGGUGACCGGCCACAUUGGGACUGGGAUACGGCCCAGACUCCUACGGGAGGCAGCAGUGGGGAAUAUUGCAGAAUGGGCGGAAGCCUGAUGCAGCAACGCCGCGUGCGGGAUGACGGCCUUCGGGUUGUAAACCGCUUUCGCCUGUGACGAAGCGUGAGUGACGGUAAUGGGUAAAGAAGCACCGGCUAACUACGUG